GUGAGGAAUAUUGGUCAAUGGGCGAGAGCCUGAACCAGCCAAGUAGCGUGAAGGAUGACUGCCCUAUGGGUUGUAAACUUCUUUUAUAAAGGAAUAAAGUCGGGUAUGGAUACCCGUUUGCAUGUACUUUAUGAAUAAGGAUCGGCUAACUCCGUGCCAGCAGCCGCGGUAAUACGGAGGAUCCGAGCGUUAUCCGGAUUUAUUGGGUUUAAAGGGAGCGUAGAUGGAUGUUUAAGUCAGUUGUGAAAGUUUGCGGCUCAACCGUAAAAUUGCAGUUGAUACUGGAUAUCUUGAGUGCAGUUGAGGCAGGCGGAAUUCGUGGUGUAGCGGUGAAAUGCUUAGAUAUCACGAAGAACUCCGAUUGCGAAGGCAGCCUGCUAAGCUGCAACUGACAUUGAGGCUCGAAAGUGUGGGUAUCAAACAGGAUUAGAAACCCCAGUAGUCCU
rnacentral:rRNA from 1 species